rnacentral:rRNA from 1 species
GAUGAACGCUGGCGGCGUGCCUAAUACAUGCAAGUCGAGCGGUAAGGCUCCUUCGGGAGUACACGAGCGGCGGACGGGUGAGUAAUACGUAGGAACGUACCCCAAAGUGAGGAAUAACCAGCCGAAAGGUUGGCUAAUACCGCAUAUGCUCUACGGAGUAAAGCAGCAAUGCGCUUUGGGAACGGCCUGCGUCCGAUUAGCUAGUUGGUAAGGUAAAGGCUUACCAAGGCGACGAUCGGUAGCUGUUCUGAGAGGAUGAUCAGCCACACUGGAACUGAGACACGGUCCAGACUCCUACGGGAGGCAGCAGUAGGGAAUUUUCCACAAUGGGCGAAAGCUUGAUGGAGCAACGCCGCGUUCAGGAUGAAGGCCUUAGGGUUGUAAACUGCUUUUAUCUGUGACGAUUAUGACAGUAGCAGAUGAAUAAGGAUCGGCUAACUCCGUGCCAGCCGCCGCGGUAA